UACGUAGGGUCCGAGCGUUGUCCGGAAUUACUGGGCGUAAAGAGCUCGUAGGUGGUUUGUCGCGUUGUUCGUGAAAACUCACAGCUCAACUGUGGGCGUGCGGGCGAUACGGGCAGACUAGAGUACUGCAGGGGAGACUGGAAUUCCUGGUGUAGCGGUGGAAUGCGCAGAUAUCAGGAGGAACACCGGUGGCGAAGGCGGGUCUCUGGGCCGUAACUGACGCUGAGGAGCGAAAGCGUGGGGAGCGAACAGG
rnacentral:rRNA from 1 species